rnacentral:rRNA from 2 species
GCUCAGGAUGAACGCUGGCGGCGUGCCUAAUACAUGCAAGUCGAGCGAACAGAUGAGAAGCUUGCUUCUCUGAUGUUAGCGGCGGACGGGUGAGUAACACGUGGGUAACCUACCUAUAAGACUGGGAUAACUCCGGGAAACCGGGGCUAAUACCUGAUAAUAUUUUGAACCGCAUGGUUCAAUAGUGAAAGACGGCUUCGGCUGUCACUUAUAGAUGGACCCGCGCCGUAUUAGCUAGUUGGUAAGGUAAUGGCUUACCAAGGCGACGAUACGUAGCCGACCUGAGAGGGUGAUCGGCCACACUGGAACUGAGACACGGUCCAGACUCCUACGGGAGGCAGCAGUAGGGAAUCUUCCGCAAUGGGCGAAAGCCUGACGGAGCAACGCCGCGUGAGUGAUGAAGGUCUUAGGAUCGUAAAACUCUGUUGUUAGGGAAGAACAAAUUUGUUAGUAACUGAACAAGUCUUGACGGUACCUAACCAGAAAGCCACGGCUAACUACGUGCCAGCAGCCGCGGUAAUACGUAGGUGGCAAGCGUUAUCCGGAAUUAUUGGGCGUAAAGCGCGCGUAGGCGGUUUCUUAAGUCUGAUGUGAAAGUCCACGGCUCAACCGUGGAAGGUCAUUGGAAACUGGGGAACUUGAGUGCAGAAGAGGAGAGUGGAAUUCCAUGUGUAGCGGUGAAAUGCGCAGAGAUAUGGAGGAACACCAGUGGCGAAGGCGGCUCUCUGGU